rnacentral:rRNA from 1 species
AGCGAACGCUGGCGGCAGGCCUAACACAUGCAAGUCGAACGGAUCCUUCGGGAUUAGUGGCGGACGGGUGAGUAACACGUGGGAACGUGCCUUUUGGUUCGGAACAACUCAGGGAAACUUGAGCUAAUACCGGAUGUGCCCUUCGGGGGAAAGAUUUAUCGCCAUUAGAGCGGCCCGCGUCUGAUUAGCUUGUUGGUGAGGUAAAGGCUCACCAAGGCUACGAUCAGUAGCUGGUCUGAGAGGAUGAUCAGCCACACUGGGACUGAGACACGGCCCAGACUCCUACGGGAGGCAGCAGUGGGGAAUCUUGAGCGAUGGGCGAAAGCCUGACGCAGCCACGCCGCGUGAAUGAUGAAGGUCUUAGGAUUGUAAAAUUCUUUCACCGGGGACGAUAAUGACGGUACCCGGAGAAGAAGCUCCGGCUAACUUCGUGCCAGCAGCCGCCGUAAUAC